GCUGGGCGUGGUGGCGUGCGCCUGUAGUCCCAGCUACUCGGGAGGCUGAGGCAGGAGAAUCACUUGAACUCAGGAGGCGGAGGUUGCAGUGAACCGAGAUCACGCCACUGCACUCCAGCCUGGGUAACAGAGUGAGACUUUGUCUCAA
rfam:Homo sapiens chromosome 4, GRCh38 reference primary assembly.